UACGUAGGGUGCAAGCGUUGUCCGGAAUUAUUGGGUGUAAAGAGCUCGUAGGCGGUCAGUCGAGUCUGCUGUGAAAUCUCGGGGCUUAACUCCGGGCCUGCAGUGGGUACUGGCUGACUAGAGUGCGGUAGGGGAGACUGGAAUUCCUGGUGUAGCGGUGAAAUGCGCAGAUAUCAGGAGGAACACCGGUGGCGAAGGCAGGUCUCUGGGCCGUAACUGACGCUGAGGAGCGAAAGCGUGGGGAGCGAACAGG
rnacentral:rRNA from 1 species